GAUGAACGCUGGCGGCGUGCCUAAUACAUGCAAGUCGAGCGAACGGACGAGAAGCUUGCUUCUCUGAUGUUAGCGGCGGACGGGUGAGUAACACGUGGAUAACCUACCUAUAAGACUGGGAUAACUUCGGGAAACCGGAGCUAAUACCGGAUAAUAUUUUGAACCGCAUGGUUCAAAAGUGAAAGACGGUCUUGCUGUCACCUAUAGAUGGAUCCGCGCUGCAUUAGCUAGUUGGUAAGGUAACGGCUUACCAAGGCAACGAUGCAUAGCCGACCUGAGAGGGUGAUCGGCCACGCUGGAACUGAGACACGGUCCAGACUCCUACGGGAGGCAGCAGUAGGGAAUCUUCCGCAAUGGGCGAAAGCCUGACGGAGCAACGCCGCGUGAGUGAUGAAGGUCUUCGGAUCGUAAAACUCUGUUAUUAGGGAAGAACAUAUGUGUAAGUAACUGUGCACAUCUUGACGGUACCUAAUCAGAAAGCCACGGCUAACUACGUG
rnacentral:rRNA from 1 species